AACAACAUGACCUCCAAGACAGGGUCACCGUACCACUCUGUAGCAGUACGCGACCUUGUCGACCUACGAGGUUUGUAGUAGCUUGAUCAGAAGCUUAAUGAUCACAAUCAUUAGUUUCCACUUCAAUUUGCGUAGGCGCCACAUGAACAAAUUCCUGCGCCCUGCUACACACUAGUUGAAGUGAUGGUUCAAUAACCUCAUCAAGUUCCACCAUCCUCCCACUCAGUUCUUUCGAGAGAAACUUUUCCUCGAGAAAGGACCCGUUUCUAGAAACAAACACUUUGCUUCCGGAUCUGAGAUAGGAGGUAUACCCAACUAUUUUGGGUGUCCUAUGAAGAUGCGUUUAUCCGCUCUGGGUUCGAGCUUAUCAUGCUGAAACUUUUCCACAUGAGCAUCGCAGCCCCAAACUUUUAAGAAACGACAGCUUAGGUUUCUCCAAACCAUAGUUCAUACGGUGUCAUCUCAACGGAAUUACGUGGUACCCUAUUUAAAGUGAAUGUGGUUGUCUCUAAUGCCUAACCCAAAACGAUAGUGGUAUUUCGAUAAGAGACAUCAUAGUAUGCACCAUAUCAAAUAGGGCGCGGCUAUGACAUUCAGACAAACCAUCACACUAUGGUGUUCUAGGUGGCAUGAACUGCAAAACAAUUUCCACAUUGUCUUAACCGUGUACCAAAACUCGCAGCUCAGAUAUUCAUCUCUAUGAUCAUAUCGUAGACAGUUUAUCCUCUUGUCACGAUGAUCUUCACUCUGGAAUAGCUUUGAACUUUUCAAUAUUUCAGACUUGUGAUUCAUCAAGUAAAUACUCAUGUAUCUACUCAAAUCAUCAGUGAAGUGAGAACAUAACGAUAUCCACUGCGUGCCUUAGCACUCAUUGGACUGCACAUAUCAAAAAUCUAUUGCAUCCAACAAGUUACUUUCUUGUUCCAUGUGGUAUGAUUUUGCAUGUCUCAAGUGAGUUAAAAUCAAGUGAUUCCAAACGAUCCAUCUGCAUGGAGUUUCUUCAUGCGUUUAUACCAACAGGUAUGGUUUCCAUGUCUCAAACGUUUCAAAAAUGAGUGAGUACAAAGAUCCAUAAGCAUGGAGUUUCUUCAUGCAUUUUACACCAACAUGACUCAAGCGGCAGUGCCACAAGUAAGUGGUUCUAUCAUUAUUACUUUGUAUCUUUUGGCACCACUAUUAUGAAUAUGUGUAACACUACGAUCGAGAUUCAAUAAAUCAUUGAAGGUAAUUAUUCAAGAAAAUAGAAUAACCAUUAUUCUCUUUAAAUGAAUAAUCGUAUUGCAAUAAACACGAUCCAAUCAUGUUCAUGCUCAAAGCAAACACCAAAUAACAAUUAUUUAGGUUUAACACCAAUCCCGAUGGUAGAGGGAGCGUGCGAUGUUUUGAUCACAUCAACCUUGGAAACACUUUCAACACGUAUCGUCACCUCGCCUUUAGCUAGUCUCCGUUUAUUUCGUAGCUUUUAUUUCGAGUUACCAAUCACUUAGCAACCGAACCGGUAUCUAAUACCCUCGUGCUACUAGGAGUACUAGUAAAGUACACAUCAAUAUCAUGUAUAUCAAAUAUACUUCUGUUGACUUCGCCAGCCUACUCAUCUACCAAGUAUAUAGGGUAGCUCCGCCUCAGUGACCGUUCACCUCAUAACAAAAGCACUUAAUCUCGGGUUUGGGUUCAAUCUUGGGUUUCUUCAUUAGAGCAGCAACUGGUUUGUCGUUUCAUGAAGUAUCUCUUCUAGCCCUUGCCCUUCUUGAAACUAGUGGUUUUACUAACCAUCAACAAUUGAUGCUCCUUCUUGAUUUCUACUUUCGUAGUGUCAAACAUUGUGAAUCGCUCAAGGAUCAUCAUAUAUAUCCUUGAUAUGUUAUAGUUCAUCACGAAGCUCUAGCAGCUUGGUGGCAGUGACUUUGGAGAACCAUCACUAUCUCAUCUGGAAGAUUAACUCCCACUUGAUUCAAGCGAUUGUUAUACUGAGCACAUGCUCAACGAUUGAGCUUUUCUCCUUUACUUUGUAGACAAAGAAUCUUGUUGGAGGUCUCAUACCUUUCAACAAGGGCACGAGCAUGAAAUCUCAAUUUCAUAUCUUAGAACAUCUUUUAUGUUCCGUGACGUUUCAAAAUGUCUUCGGCGUCUUGCAUCUAAGCCAUUAAGUAUUACGCACUGAACUAUCACGUAGUCAUGAAAAAUGUGUAUGUCAGAUGUUCGCAACAUCCACAGACGACGCUUGAGGUGCAGCACACCGAGUGGUGCAUUAAGGACAUAAGCCUUCUACGCAGCAAUGAGGACAAUCCUCAGUUUUACGUACUCAGUCCGCAAAGUUACUACUAUCAUCUUUCAACUAAAUUUUCUCUAGGAACAUAUAAAAAAACAGUAGAGCUAUAGCGCAAGCUACAUCAUAAUUCGCAAAGACCUUUUGACCAUGCUCAUGAUAAUUAGUUCAAUUAAUCAUAUUACUUAAGAACUCCCACUCAAAAAAUACAUCCCUCUAGUCAUUUCAGUGGUGCAUGAUCCAAAUCCACUAACCCAAGUCCGAUCAUCACGUGAGUUGCGUAUAGUUUCAGUGGUAAACAUCUCUAUGCUAAUCAUAUCAACUAUAUGAUUCAUGCUCGACCUUUCGGUCUCUUGUGUUCCGAGGCCAUGUCUGCACAUGCUAAGCUCGUCAAGUUUAACCCGAGUGUUCCGCGUGUGCAACUGUUUUGCACCCGUUGUAUGCGAACGUUGAGUCUAUCACACCCGAUCAUCACGUGGUGUCUCGAAACGACGAACUGUCGCAACGGUGCAUAGUCGGGGAGAACACAAUUUUAUCUUGAAAUUUUAGUGAAGGAUCACGUUAUAAUGCUACCAUCGUUCUAAGAAAGAUAAGGUGCAUAAAAGGAUUAACAGCACAUGCAAUUCAUAAGUGACAUGAUAUGGCCAUGAUCUUGUGCUUCUUGAUCUCCAUCACCAAAGCACCGACAUGAUCUUCAUCGUCACCGGCACCACACCAUGAUCUCCACCAUCGUGCCGCCAUCGAGGUUGUCGUGCUAUAUACGCUAUCACUACUAAAGCUACAACCUAGCGAUAUAGUAAACGCAUAUGCAAACACAAACGUUAGUUUAAAGACAACCUUAUGGAUCCUGCCAGUUGCCGUAGCAUCGACGUGCAAGUCGAUAUUUAACUAUUACAAAAUGAUCAUCUCAUACAUCCAAUAUAUCACAUCAUGUCUUUGGCCAUAUCACAUCACAUGCAUACCCUGCAAAAACAAGUUAGACAUCCUCUAAUUUGUUGUUGCAUGUUUUACGUGGCUCCUAUGGGUAUCUAGUAUGAUCGCAUCUUACUUACGCAUAGCCACAACGGUAAUAUGCAAAUUGCUAUUUAACCUUUCUCCAAGGACCGCCUCGGUCAAAUCCGAUUCAACUAAAGUUGAAGAAACAGACACCCGCCAGUCAUCUUUAUGCAACAAGUUGCAUGUUAGUCGAUGAAACCGGUCUCUUGUAAGCGUACGAUUAAGGUUGGUUUGGGCCGCUUCAAUCCAACAAUACCGCCGAAUCGAGAAAAUACUAAGGAGGGCAGCAAAUUGAACAUCAAUGCCCACAAAAACUUGUUUGUUCUACUCGAGAUUACAUCUACGCAUGAACCUAGCUCAUGAUGCCACUAUUGGGGAACGUUUCAUGGGAAACUAAAAAAUUCCUACACACACGAAGACCUAUCAUGGUGAUGAUCAUCUACGAGAGGGAGAUCGGGUCCACAUACCCUUGUAGAUCGCUAAGUGGAAAUGUUAAGAAACGUGUAUGAUGUAGUGGUAUGUCUUCACGAUCCGUCCCACGAACCGUCUCACGAUCCGUCCCGAUCAAGUGUUGAACGGACGGCACCUCCGCGUUCCGCACACGUACAGCUCGAUGACGAUCUCCGCCUUCUUGAUCCAGCAAGAGGGGCGGAGAGGUAGAUGAGUUCUCCAGCAUGGCGAUGUGGUGGUGGUGUUGGUGGUGCUAUUCCAGCAGGGCUUCGCCUAAGCACCGCUGAAACUAGAGGAGAAACAGAUCUAGAGAGAGAGGGCAGCACGUGGCUGUUUCUGUUGUCCAAAAACCCUCAAAACCCUUAGUAUAUAUAGGAGGAGAGGAGGGAGAGGGUUGCGCCCUAGAGCAACCUUCUCUUCCCUUGCGCAAGGGAGAGGAGGAGGAGUCCUACUCCAAUCCUAUUUGGAGUAGGAUUCCUCCUUCCCACUUGGAAACUCUUUCCACCUUGUGUUUUUCCUUCUCAAACCUUAUGGGUCUUAGUGGGAACUUAUUCGAGCCCACUAGGGGAUGGUUUAUCUCUUGCCACAGCCCAUAAGGCCUCUUGGGGCGUGACACCCCUCCCGAUGGUCCCCGGCACACCUCCCGGCACUCCCGGUACACUACCGAUGAGCCCGAAACUUUUCCCGUGACCAAAACAGGACUCCCUAUAUAUCAAUCUUCAUUUCCGGACCAUUCUGGAAACCUUCGUGAUGUACGGGAUCUCAUCCGGCACUCUGAACAACCUUCGGUCACCAACACAUAUAACUUAACUAUACCGAAACAUCACCGAACUUUAAGUGUGUAGACCCUGCGGGUUCGAGAACUAUGUAGACAUGACCUGAGACACUCUUCGGUCAAUAACCAACGGCGGGACCUCGAUGUUCAUAUUGGCUCCUACAUAUUCUACGAAUAUCUCUAUCGGUUGAACCUCUAUGUCAAGGAUUAAUAUAAUCCCGUAUACUAUUCCCUUUGUCCUUCGGUAUGUUACUUGCCCGAGAUUCGAUCGUUGGUAUCUCCAUACCGAGUUCAAUCUCGUUACCGGCAAGUCUCUUUACUCGUUCCAUAAUACAAGAUCUCGUGACUAACUCCUUAGUCAUAUUGCUUGCAAGGCUUGUUGUGAUGUUGUAUUACCGAGUGGGCCCCCUAGAUACCACUCCGUCACAUGGAGUGACAAAUCACAGUCUUGAUCCAUGCCAACCUAAUAGACACCUUUGGAGAUACGUGUAGAGCACCUUUAUGGUCACCCAGUUAUGUUGUGACGUUUGAUACACACAAGGCAUUCCUCCGGUGUCCGGGAGUUGUGAUACGUCCAUUUUGCAUCAUGUUUUCAUGUUGAUAUUUAUUGCUUCUUGGGAUGUUAUAUUACUUGUGGUGCCAUAUUUAUGCCUUUUCGCUCUUAUUUUGCAAGGAUUAUUUGAAGAGGGAGAAUUCAGGCAGCUGGAAUUCUGGACUAGAAAAGGAGCAAAUCCUAGUCCACUAUUCUGCACAUCUCCAAAUGCCCUGAAAAUUUUCGUGGAUUUUUUCUAGAAUAUAUUAAAAAUACUGGGCGAAAGAACUACCAGAGGGGGCCACCAGGGCCCCACAAGCUUGCCCACCGCCGCCGCCCCCCUGGUGGCGCACGGCAGGCUUGUGGGCAGCCCACUGGCCCACUAGCCCCCCUCUUUUGCUAUAUGAUGCGUCCUGACCUGGAGAAAAUCAUACAGGAGCUUUUUCGUGGUUUCCCCGCCGCCACAGGGCGGAACUUGAGUAGAUCCAAUCUAGAGCUCCGGCAGGACGAUCUUGUCGGGGAAAUUUCCCUCCCGGAGGGGGGAAUCAUCACCAUCUUCAUCACCAACACUCCUCUCAGCGGAGGGGAGGCAUCUUCAUCAACAUCUUCAUCGGCACCAUCUCUUCUCCAAUCCCUAGUUCAUCUCUUGUAACCAAUCUUCGUCUCGCAACUCAGAUUAGUACUUGUAAGGUUGCUAGUAGUGUUGAUUACUCUUUGUAGUUGAUGCUUGUUGGAUUACUUGGUGGAAGAGUUUAUGUUCAGAUCCUUGAUGCUAUUCAUUACACCUCUGGUCAUGAUUAUGAUUAUAUCUUGUGAGUAGUUACUUUUGUUCCUAAGGACAUGGAAUAAGUCAUGCUGAUAAUAGUCAUGUGAAUUUGAUAUUCGUUCAGUAUUUUGAUAUGAUGUAUGUUGUUUUUCCUCUAGUGGUGUUAUGUGAACGUGGACUACAUAACACUUCACCAUAUUUGAGCCUAGAGGAAGGCAUUGUGAAGUAGUAAGUAGAUGAUGGGUUGCUGGAGUGACAGAAGCUUAAACCCCAGUUUAUGCGUUGCUUCGUGAGGGGAUGAUUUGGAUCCACUAGUUUAAUGCUAUGGUUAGACUUUGUCUUAAUUCUUCUUUUGUAGUUGCGGAUGCUUGCUAGAGAGGUUAAUCAUAAGUGGGAUGCUUGUCCAAGUAAGGUCAGUACCCAAGCGCCGGUCCACCCACAUAUCAAACUAUCAAAGUAACGAACGCGAAUCAUAUGAACAUGAUGAAACUAGCAUGACAGAAAUUCUCAUGUGUCCUCGGGAGCAUUUUUCCUCCUAUAUGACUUUGUUCAGGCUUGUCCCUUGCUACAAAAGGGAUUGGGCCACUUGCUGCACCGUUGCUACUACUUGUUAUUUGUUACUCUUUGCUUGCUACGUUUCACCUCGCUACACAAUCACUUGUUACCGCUACUUUCAGUGCUUGCAGUUAUUACCUUGCUGAAAUUCGUUUAUCACAGCCUUCUGCUCCUCGUUGGGUUCGACAAUCUUACUUAUAGAAAGGACUAUGAUUGAUCCCCUAUACUUGUGUUGGAAAUAUGCCCUAGAGGCAAUAAUAAAUUAGUUAUUAUUAUAUUUCUUUGUUCAUGAUAAUCGUUUCUUAUCCAUGCUAUAAUUGUAUUGAUUGGAAACACAGUGCAUGUGUGGAUACACAGACAAAACACAGUCCCUAGUAAGCCUCUAGUUGACUAGCUCGUUGAUCAAAGAUGGUCAAGGUUUCCUGACCAUAGGCAAGUGUUGUCACUUGAUAACGGGAUCACAUCAUUAGGAGAAUCAUGUGAUGGACUAGACCCAAACUAAUAAGACGUAGGAUGUUGAUCGUGUCAUUUUGUUGCUAUUGUUUUCUGCGUCUCAAGUAUUUGUUCCUAUGACCAUGAGAUCAUAUAACUCACUGACACCGGAGGAAUGCUUUGUGUGUAUCAAACGUUGCAACGUAACUGGGUGACUAUAAAGAUGCUCUAUAGGUAUCUCCGAAGGUGUUCGUUGAGAUAGUAUGGAUCGAGACUGGGAUUUGUCACUCCGUGUGACGGAGAGGUAUCUCGGGGCCCACUCGGUAAUACAACAUCACNNNNNNNNNNNNNNNNNNNNNNNNNNNNNNNNNNNNNNNNNNNNNNNNNNNNNNNNNNNNNNNNNNNNNNNNNNNNNNNNNNNNNNNNNNNNNNNNNNNNNNNNNNNNNNNNNNNGGUAAACGAGAUUGAAAUAGGUAUGCGGAUACUGACGAUCGAAUCUCGGGCAAGUAACAUACCGAAGUACAAAGGGAAUGACAUACGGGAUUAUAUGAAUCCUUGGCACCGAGGUUCAAACGAUAAGAUCUUCGUAGAAUAUGUAGGAUCCAAUAUGGGCAUCCAAGUCCCGCUAUUGGAUAUUGACCGAGGAGUCACUCGGGUCAUGUCUACAUAGUUCUCGAACCCGCAGGGUCUGUACACUUAAGGUUCGACGUUGUUUUAUGCGUAUUUGAGUUAUAUGGUUGGUUACCGAAUGUUGUUCGGAGUCCCGGAUGAGAUCACGGACAUCACGAGGGUUUCCGGAAUGGUCCGGAAACAAAGAUUGAUAUAUAGGAUGACCUCAUUUGAUUACCGGAAGGUUUUCGGAGUUACCGGGAAUAUACCGGGAAUGACGAAUGGGUUCCUCGGAAUGUACCAGGAAUGACGAAUGGGUUCCGGGUGUUCACCGGGGGGGCAACCCACCCCGGGGAAGCCCAUAGGCCUUGGGGGUGGCGCACCAGCCCUUAGUGGGCUGGUGGGACAGCCCAAUAAGGCCCUAUGCGCCAUAGGAAGAAAAUCAAAGAGAAAAAGGAAAAAAGAAAAGGGGAGGUGAGAAAAAGGGGAAGGACUCCACCUUCCAAACCUAGUUGGAUUCGGUUUGGAAGGGGAGGACUCCCCCCCUUGGCUCGACCGACCCCCAAGGCAAGGCCCCCCUCUCCCACCUAUAUAUACGGAGGUUUUAGGGUUGAUUUGAGACAACUUUGCCACGGCAGCCCGACCACAUACCACCAUGGUUUUACCUCUAGAUCGCGUUUCUGCGGAGCUCGGGUGGAGCCCUGCUGAGAUUAGAUCACCACCAAACUCCGGAGCGCCGUCAUGCUGCCCGAGAACUCAUCUACCUCUCCGUCUCUCUUGCUGGAUCAAGAAGGCCGAGAUCAUCGUCGAGCUGUACGUGUGCUGAACGCGGAGGUGCCGUCCGUUCGGCACUAGAUCGUGGGACGGAUCGCGGGACGGUUUGCGGGGCGGAUCGAGGGACGUGAGGACGUUCCACUACAUCAACCGCGUUUCUUAACGCUUCUGCUGUGCGAUCUACAAGGGUACAUAGAUCAAAUAUCCCCUCUCGUAGAUGGACAUCACCAUGAUAGGUCUUCGUGCGCGUAGGAAAAUUUUUGUUUCCCAUGCGACGUUCCCCAACAACUUGUGGGUCAUCAAGACUCUUUUCUGGCGCCGUUGCCGGGGAGUGAAGCGCCUUUGGUAAGUGGAAAUUGGUAAGGAAACAAUUUUAUACUGUGCUGAAAUUUAUUGUCACUUGUCACUAUGGAAACUCUUCCUUUGAGGAGUUUGUUCGGGGUAUCUUCACCAUGAACGGAAGCACGAGGAUUUGCUCCUCAACCUGAGGUACCUACUGAAAAUAUCUUUUAUAAAAUUCCUUUGGGUAUGCUUGAGAAAUUGCUGGCUAAUCCUUUUACAGGAGAUGGAUCUUCACAUCCAGACUUUCAUCUAAUCUAUGUAGAUGAAGUUUGUGGUUUAUUUAAGCUUGCAGGUUUGCCCGAGGAUGAGGUAAAGAAGAAACUCUUUCCUUUAUCUUUGAAGGAUAAGGCAUUGACAUGGUAUAGGCUAUGUGAUGAUACUGGAUCAUGCAGCUACAAUCGGUUGAAAUUGGAAUUUCAUCAAAAGUUCUAUCCCAUGCAUUUAGUAUAUCAUGAUCGGAACUUUAUUUAUAACUUUUGGCCUCGUGAUAGGGAAAGCAUAGCUCAAGCUUGGGGGAGGCUUAAAUCAAUGCUAUAUUCAUGCCCCAAUCAUGAGCUCUCGAGAGAAAUCAACACUCAAAACAUUUAUGCUCGGAUUUCUCAUGAAGAUCGUACCAUGCUUGAUACUUCUUGUGCCGGUUCUUUUAUGAAGAAGAAUAUUGAUCACAAGUGGAAUUUAUUGGAGAGAAUCAAACGCAACUCUGGAGAUUGGGAGCUGGAGGAAGGUAAGGACUCAGGUAUGAAUUUCUAUUUUGAUUGCGUUAAAUCUUUUGUUGAGACAAACACUUCUAGAGAGCGCUAAGUAUGGACUUGACUCUGAGAUAGUAGCUUCUCUUUGUAAAUCUUUUGCUGCUCAUGUUGAUCUUCCCAAAGAGAAGUGGUUUAAAUAUCAUCCUCCUGUAGAAAGCAACAUAGCCAAAACCAAUCUAGUUGAGGAGAAAAUCAUAGCUUUUAGUGAUCCUGUUGUUCCUUGUGCUUACACUGAGAAACCACCAUACCCUGCUAGGAUGAAGGAUUAUUCUAAAGCUCCAACUGUGAUACGUAGGGGUUACAUUAGACCACUUGCACCCCCUGAAGAGAUUAGAGUUGAACCUAGUGUUGCUAUUAUCAAAGAUCUCUUAGCCAAAGAGAUAGAUGGGCAUGUUAUCAAAUUCUGUGAGGACUCCGCUAGAAUUGCUAAACCUCACGCGAAAGACAAGCACGGACCUGUAGUUGGCCUGCCCGUUGUUUCUGUUAAGAUAGGAGAUCACUGUUACCAUGGUUUAUGUGAUAUGGGAGCUAGUGUUAGUGCAAUACCCCGUUCUCUAUAUGAUGAAAUCAAAGAUGAGAUUGCACCAGCUGAGAUAGAACCCAUUGAUGUCACUAUCACGCUAGCUAAUAGAGACACUAUAUGCCCUUUGGGAAUUGUGAGAGAUGUAGAAGUCCUGUGUGGUAAGACGAAGUAUCCUACUGAUUUCCUCGUCCUUGGUACUACACAAGAUAGCUUUUGUCCCAUCAUAUUCGGUAGACCCUUUCUCAACACUAUCAAUGCUCACAUUGAUUGCAUUAAGCAGACUGUCAUAGUAAGUUUCGAGGGUGUGUCUCAUGAAUUUAACUUCUCCAAGUUUGGAAGACAACCCCAUGAAAGAGAUUCAUCUGGUAGGGAUGAAAUCAUUGCUCUUUCCUCUAUUGCCAUACCUCCUACGAAUCCUUUAGAGCAAUAUCUGCUUGAGCAUGAAAAUGAUAUGCAUACGGAGGAGAGAGAUGAGAUAGAUAGAAUUGUCUUAGAACAAUGUCCUAUUCUCAAGAAUAAUCUGCAUGUUGAACUGCUUGGGGAUCCUCCCCCACCAAAGGGUGAUCCUGUGUUCGAGCUUAAACAGUUGCCUGAUACUCUUAAGUAUGCCUAUCUUGAUGAGAAGGAGAUAUAUCCUGUCAUUAUUAGUGCUCUCCUCUCAGAGCGUGAAGAGAAGAAGUUACUAAAAACUCUGAGGAAGCACCGCGCUGCUAUUGGAUAUACUCUUGAUGAUCUUAAGGGUAUUAGUCCUACUCUAUGUCAGCACAAGAUUAAAACCGAUCCUGACUUUAAACCAGUUGCUGAUCAUCAAAGGAGAUUAAAUCCUAAGAUGAAAGAGGUCGUUAGAAAAGAAAUAUUAAAGCUUCUGGAAGCAGGAAUCAUUUAUCCUAUUGCUCAUAGUGAUUGGGUAAGUCCAGUACAUUGCGUACCUAAGAAGGGAGGUAUCACCGUCGUUCCUAAUGAUAAGGAUGAACUAAUCCCACAAAGGAUUAUUACCGGCUAUAGAAUGGUGAUAGACUUCCGGAAACUGAACAAGGCAACCAGGAAAGAUCAUUAUCCUUUGCCGUUCAUCGACCAAAUGCUAGAAAGGCUAUCAAAGCACACACACUUUUGCUUUCUAGACGGUUAUUCAGGUUUCUCGCAAAUACCUGUUGCAUAAUUUGAUCAAGAGAAAACCACCUUCACCUGCCCUUUCGAUACCUUUGCCUAUAGAUGUAUGCCUUUUGGCUUAUGUAAUGCACCUGCCACCUUUCAAAGAUGUAUGAUGGCUAUAUUCUCUGACUUUUGUGAAAAGAUUGUCGAGGUUUUCAUGGAUGACUUCUCCAUUUACGGGUCUUCCUUUGAUGAUUGCCUCAGCAACCUUGAUCGAAUCUUACAGAGAUGCGAAUAAACCAACCUCGUCUUGAAUUGGGAGAAGUGCCACUUUAUGGUUAAUGAAGGUAUCGUCUUAGGACACAAAAUCUCUGAAAGAGGCAUUGAAGUUGAUAAGGCUAAGGUUGAUGCAAUUGAGAAAAUGCCUUGCCCCACAGAUAUCAGAGGUAUACGAAGUUUCCUAGGUCAUGCUGAUUUCUAUAGAAGGUUCAUUAAAGACUUCUCUAAGAUUUCUAGGCCUCUUACCAACCUCUUGCAGAAGGAUGUUCCUUUUGUUUUUGAUGAGGAUUGUGAGGAAGCCUUCGAAAUACUUAAGAAGGCUUUGAUAACCGCACCUAUUGUUCAACCACCUGACUGGAACUUUCCCUUUGAAAUCAUGUGUGACGCUAGUGAUUAUGCUGUUGGUGUUGUUCUAGGACAAAGAGUUGACAAGAAGUUGAAUGUCAUUCACUACGCUAGUAAAACUCUAGACAGUGCCCAAAGGAACUAUGCCACUACGGAGAAGGAAUUUUUAGCACUCGUGUUUGCAUGUGAAAAAAUCAGAUCUAACAUAGUUGACUCCAAGGUCACUAUUCACUCUGAUCAUGCUCCUAUUAAGUACCUUAUGGAGAAGAAGGACGCUAAGCCUAGGCUUAUCAGAUGGGUUCUCCUGCUACAGGAAUUUGAUUUGCACGUCAUUGACCGAAAGGGUGCUGAUAACCCUGUAGCAGAUAACUUGUCUAGGCUAGAGAAUGUCCUUGAUGACCCACUACCAAUUGAUGACAGCUUUCCUGAUGACCAAUUAAAUGUCAUCCGCACUUCACUUAGUGCACCAUGGUAUGCCGAUUAUGCAAACUAUAUCGUAGCCAAAUACAUACCACCCAGUUUCACCUAUCAACAAAAGAAGAAAUUCUUCUUUGAUUUGAGACACUACUUUUGGGAUGAUCCUCACCUUUAUAAGGAAGGAGUAGAUGGUGUUAUUAGACGUUGUGUGCCUGAACAUGAACAGGGACAGAUCCUGCAGAAGUGUCAUUCCGAAGCCUACGGAGGACACCACGCUGGAGAUAGAACUGCCCAUGAGGUAUUGCAAUCAGGUUUCUAUUGGCCCACUCUCUUCAAGGAUGCUCGUAAGUUUGUCUUGUCUUGUGACAAAUGCCCAAGGAUAGGGAACAUCAGUAAGCGUCACAAGAUGCCUAUGAACUAUUCACUUGUCAUUGAACCAUUUGAUGUCUGGGGCUUUGAUUAUAUGGGACCCUUCCCGAGUUCCAGUGGGUACACUCACAUCUUAGUUGUUGUGGAUUACGUUACUAAGUGGGUAGAAGCUAUCCCCACUAAAAAUGCUGAUCACCACAACUCUAUUAAGAUGCUUAAAGAAGUUAUAUUCCCAAGAUUUGGAGUCCCUAGAUACUUGAUGACUGAUGGCGGUUCACACUUCAUUCAUGGUGUUUUCCGCAAGAUGCUAGCUAAGUAUGAUGUCAACCAUAGAGUUGCAUCUCCUUAUCAUCCUCAGUCUAGUGGUCAAUUGGAGUUGAGUAAUAGGGAGAUCAAGUUGAUCUUACAAAAGACCGUCAAUAGAUCCCGAAAGAACUGGUCUAGCAAACUUGACGAUGCACUAUGGGCUUAUAGGACUGCUUAUAAAAAUCCCAUGGGCAUGUCACCGUAUAAAAUGGUUUACGGUAAGGCCUGUCAUUUACCUCUUGAGUUGGAACACAAAGCUUAUUGGGCAAUCAAAGAGCUCAACUUUGAUUUCAAACUUGCCAGUGAGAAGCGGUUGUUUGAUAUCAGCUUGUUGGAUGAAUGGAGAGCCCAGGCAUAUGAGAAUACCACGUCGUCAAGGAAAAGGUUAAGAGAUGGCACGACAAACGAAUACAGAAACGAGAGUUCAAUGUAGGUGAUUAUGUCUUGCUAUACAAUUCUCGUUUGAGAUUCUUUGGAGGCAAGCUUCUCUCUAAAUGGGAAGGUCCCUACGUUGUCGAGGAAGUAUAUCGUUCCGGUGCCAUCAAAAUCAAUAAUACAAGGAAAUUUUCCUAGAGUGGUAAAUGGGCAAAGAAUCAAGCAUUACAUCUCUGGUACUCCCAUAAAUGUUGAGACCAAUAUCAUCAAUGUCAUAACUCCACAGGAGUACAUAAGGGAUGUUUAUCAGCCUGUUUCAGACCUUGAAAACGAAGAUGUAUCUGUUUCGGCAAGAAAUUGGACUCCGAUACUUUUCCAAUAGGAAAUUUCCUCAGUUUUGGAAUUUUUGGAAAAUUAGAAAAAUAAAAAAGCAGUCCGGAGAGCAAACGAGGAAGCCACAAGGGCCCACUCCGCCACCACCCCCUGGUGGCGGUGGGCAAGCUUGUGGGCACCUUGUGUGCCUCCCGGACUCCGUUUUCUUGCAGAGGACUCCUUCUGGCCCAGAAAAAAUCAAUAUAUAGUUGCCCGAAGGUUUUGAUCUUCAUAUCGCGUAGUUUUCCUCUGUUUUCGUUUCGAGCUUGUUUCUGCCGCAGAUCUAGAUCAUCAUGACUUCCCCAAACGCUCCUAAGGACAAGAUCUUGGAGAAGGUCAUCAAUCCCUACCUCACGGAAGUGCUAAAACACCAUCAAUCUAUCAAGAUGAGCGAGGGGAUGUUGCACAUCCGUGAUGUUGAGGGGCCUAAGAAGACCGGAAGCAUGGAGACGAGGCUCGAAGUAGUGGAGCAACAAGUCUUCAUGUGCCAAGGGAUGGUUGAGCGUGGACUCAACGCCAACCACACGAUGAUCACGGAGUUCACUAGCAAUCACAAGAUGGAUGUCAUUGAUAUCGGGAAACACCUCUCCAGACUUUACGAUAGGGUUGACCAACUUCAGGGCCAAAUCUAUGACCUGCAGAAUCAAAACUGUGAGUAUGGGUAUAGAUUUAAAUCAAUAAGGUUGGCUGCAGAUUUGAGGAUUUCGGCUACUCGUUCAUCCUGCCAUGAUGGAGCACCUAUGCCUUGGAAGACGGAGGAUCAGACUACUCCAACAACACCACCAUCAUCACCAAAGGAAGACAACUAAGCAUUGGUAUGGGCAAUCCCCUUGGCUUCUGCCGAGCUUGGGGGAGUUGCCCUGGUAUCAUAUCACCUUUAUAUCUUUUGCUUUUACCUUUGUUUUAGUUCUUUCCCUUUCAGUUUUUAUUUCUUCUUUUAGAGGAAUAAGUCUUUAGUUUUUAGUUUGAGUCUUUUGCUUUUGGUCUCUCCCCCGAUGUAUUCGAGCUUACGAGCUAUAUAAUAAAGAGUGUCUUAGUCAAAGGGCUUUGCUUUGUGCCAUGAUCAAAAGUAUGAAAAGAACGAUAGCAUGAAAGAUCAUGAGACGAUCUUAUGGAAAGUGAUAACUUCACUUAUGACACGUAUGAUGAUUGAAACUUGUCGAGAAUAAAUCAACACAUACCUCAGUCAUUGUUGCAAUUAAUAAGAAGUAAUAAGGAAAGAGAGGUUCACAUAUAAAUAUAUCAUCUUAGACACUUUCUACAAUUGUGAGCACUCACCAAACUAUUACAUGCCUAGGAGUAGAUGUUGGACAAGGAAGACAACAUAAUGAAUUGUGUUUGCUUGGUUCCAAACAAUGUUAUAUGAUUAGAGAUCCCUUAGCAUGUGACGAUUGCUUCCACCUCAUAUUAGCCAAAACUUCCGCACCAAGUAGAGAUACUACUUGUGCAUCCAUAAACCUUCAACCCAGUUUUGCCAUGAGAGUCCACCAUACCUACCUAUGGAUUGAAUAAGAUCCUUCAAGUAAGUUGUCAUCGGUGCAAGCAAUAAAAAUUGCUCUCUAAUAUGUAUGAUCUAUUAGUGUGUGGAAAAUAAGCUUUGUACGAACCUGUGAUGAGGAAGACAUAAAAGCGACAGACUGCAUAAUAAAGUUCUUUGUCACAGGAGGCAAUAUAAAGUGACGUUCCUCCGCACUAAGAGGACACGCAUUCAAACCUCAAAAGUGCAUGACAACCUCUGCUUCCCUCUGCGAAGGGCCUAUCUUGUACCUUUACUUUUACCCUUGUAAGAGUCAUGGUGAUCAUCACCAAUUCCCUUUUUGCCUUCGUCUUGGCUACCGUCACAUGCUUGGAAAAGAUCUAUAUUCAUAUAUCAACUUGGAGUUGAGUACUCAUGCUUUAUUGUUGUUGACUUUACCCUUGAGGUAAACCGUUGGGAGGAAAAACUAUAAGCCCCCAUCUUCCUCUGUGUCGAGCUGAAGCUUUGACACCAUGAGUACCACGUGAGCUAUAAAAAUUGUGGAAAACAAAAGAGAUGAUUGAGUAUGUGGGUUUGCCUUACAAGCUCUUAUUUGACUCUUUCUGAUGUUGUGAUAAAUUGCAAUUGCUUCAAUGAUUAUGGACUAUUGUUGGUUACUUCUCGGUAAGGUUUUUGCUUCAUGCUUUGCUUUGUGAAGGAAUUGUUACUUUCCCAUAAGAAUCUUUAUAUAUAUUGUUGUUCUAUGUGUGAUCAUGAUGCCCUCAUGUCUGUAUUAUGUUUUAUCGACACCUUCGUCCCUCAACAUGUGGACGUGUUUAUGGAACUUGGUUUUCGCUUGAGGACAAGCGAGGUCUAAGCUUGGGGGAGUUGAUACGUCCAUUUUGCAUCAUGUUUUCAUGUUGAUAUUUAUUGCUUCUUGGGAUGUUAUAUUACUUGUGGUGCCAUAUUUAUGCCUUUUCGCUCUUAUUUUGCAAGGAUUAUUUGAAGAGGGAGAAUUCAGGCAGCUGGAAUUCUGGACUAGAAAAGGAGCAAAUCCUAGUCCACUAUUCUGCACAUCUCCAAAUGCCCUGAAAAUUUACGUGGAUUUUUUCUGGAAUAUAUUAAAAAUACUGGGCGAAAGAACUACUGGAGGGGGGCCACCAGGGCCCCACAAGCUUGCCCACCACCACCACCCCCUGGUGGCGCACGGUAGGCUUGUGGGCAGCCCACUAGCCCACUAGCCCCCCUCUUUUGCUAUAUGAUGCGUCCUGACCUGGAAAAAAUCAUACAGGAGCUUUUUCGUGGUUUCGCCGCCACCACGGGGCGGAACUUGAGCAGAUCCAAUCUAGAGCUCUGGCAGGACAAUCCUGCCGGGGAAAUUUCCCUCCCGGAGGGGGGAAUCGUCGCCAUCUUCAUCACCAACACUCCUCUCGUCGGAGGGGAGGCAUCUUCAUCAACAUCUUCAUCAGCACCAUCUCUUCUCCAAUCCCUAGUUCAUCUCUUGUAACCAAUCUUCAUCUCGCAACUCAAAUUGGUACUUGUAAGGUUGCUAGUAGUGUUGAUUACUCUUUGUACUUGAUGCUUGUUGGAUUACUUGGUGGAAGAUUUUAUGUUCAGAUCCUUGAUGCUAUUCAUUACACCUCUGGUCAUGAUUAUGAUUAUGUCUUGUGAGUAGUUACUUUUGUUCCUGAGGACAUGGAAUAAGUCAUGCUGAUAAUAGUCAUGUGAAUUUGAUAUUCGUUCGGUAUUUUGAUAUGAUGUAUGUUGUUUUUCCUCUAGUGGUGUUAUGUGAAUGUCAACUACAUAACACUUCACCAUAUUUGGGUCUAGAGGAAGGCAUUGGAAAGUAGUAAGUAGAUGAUGGGUUGCUGGAGUGACAGAAGCUUGAACCCCAGUUUAUGCGCUACUUCGUGAGGGGUUGAUUUGGAUCCACUAGUUUAAUGCUAUGGUUAGACUUUGUCUUAAUUCUUCUUUUGUAGUUGCGGAUGCUUGCGAGAUAGGUUAAUCAUAAGUGGGAUGCUUGUCCAAGUAAGGGCAGUACCCAAGUGCCGGUCCACCCACAUAUCAAACUAUCAAAGUAACGAAUGCGAAUCAUAUGAACAUGAUGAAACUAGUAUGACAGAAAUUCCCGUGUGUCCUCGGGAGCGUUUUCCUCCUAUAAGACUUUGUUCAGGCUUGUCCCUUGCUACAAAAGGGAUUGGGCCACUUGCUGCACCGUUGCUACUACUUGUUACUUGUUACUCUUUGCUUGCUACGUUUCACCUCGCUACACAAUCACUUGUUACCGCUACUUUCAGUGCUUGCAGUUAUUACCUUGCUGAAAUCCGUUUAUCAGAGCCUUUUGCUCCUCGUUGGGUUCGACACUCUUACUUAUCGAAAUGACUACGAUUGAUCCCCUAUACUUGUGGGUCAUCAAGUUGCGUGAUCACAUGGUCAUAGGAACAGAAACAUUGACAUGCAGAAAAAUAGUAGCAAUAAACUGACACGAUCAUAUGCUACAUUUAUAGUUCGGUUCUUGUCCAUCACAUCAUUCUCCCAAUGAUGUGAUCCCGUCAUCAAGUGACAACACUUGCCUAUGGCCAGGAAACCUUGACCAUCUUUGAUCAACGAGCUAGUCAACUAGAGGCUCACUAGGGACAGUGGGUUGUCUAUGUAUCCACACAUGUAUUUGAGUUUCCAAUCAAUACAAUUCUAGCAUGGAUAAAUAAAUGAUUAUUACGAACAAGGAAAUAUAAUAAUAACCAAUUUAUUAUUGCCUCUAGGGCAUAUUUCCAACAAUUUCUAUGUAAAAGGUGCGGAUAGUACCUCAUUCUCGUCUAUCCCAAGCUGAGGUAUGUCACCGACCCUAUGCUCAUCCAUGCAUACAAAAUUAUCCACUGGAGCCCUGAAUAAUUUUUUAUAGUAUUCAAAGAUAUAUUGUUUGAGAUUCUCAUGUCCCACAAUUGUACCCUCAUCUUGUUCUAGCUGGAUAAUUUUUUUAUUCCUAUGCUUUCCAUUAGCUAUUAGAUGGAAAUGUUGUGUGUUGUCAUCUCCUUGUACCACUUGGAGGACUUUCGCUCUUAGUGCCCACUUCAACUCCUCCUCUCUGAGUAGUUGUUUGAGCUUUAGUUCAGCCUCCAUUUUUCAAUGACCUCUCAUUGUCACCUAAUAACGUUUGUUCGGCUUUUAUGUCUAGUGUGUUUAUAAGUUUAUAAGUUCGACAAGCCUUUGUUUCUUUUUCUUAUAAAUUACACUAUCGUGCUUUUCCCAACCCCUUAAGAAUUGCCUCAGGUGUCUUAUCUUAUUUUGCCACCUGUCAACAUUCGAGUCACCUUCUGUGAAAUAGCCCAUUCUCAAACCCGUCCCUUUCAAACCAUCCCAAUUCGAAAGAAAAAAGGUUUUUAUUUCCCACAUGUGUUGCUUCUCGCGAGUCUACAAACAGUGGGGUAUGAUCAGAGAUAGCUCUUGGUAACUCUCAAACUGUGACGAGAGGGAAUUUCUGCUCCCAUUCCACACUCAUGAGAACCCGGUCCAACUUCUCAAAAGUUGGGUUAGGUAAAGAGUUUGCCCAAGUAAACUUUCUCCCUGAUAGCUCAAUCUCCCACAAAUUAAGGCUCUCGAUGAUUGAAUUAAACAUAAAUGACCAUCUUCCAUCAAAGUUAUCACUGUUUUUCUCAUCCUGCCUCCAGAUUAUAUUAAAAUCGCCCCCUACUAAAAUCGGCAGUCUCUCGUCCCCGCAGAUUCGGACAAGGUCAGCCAAGAAAUCUCUCUUGAACUCAGGCUGGGCCGCCCCAUGCACAUCUACGAGUGCCCAUUGGAACCCGUCAUCUUUGGAGCGAACUCAAAAUUUGACUGCAAAGUCUCCAUACACCACUUUCGUAGUUGUGGUGUCUCGCACCGAACCCCAAGCAAGAUCCCACCUGAUCUUCCUCUUGGAGGUAGACAAUGCCAGUCAAAUUCAGAACCUCCAUACAACGUGUUUAAAAACGAAGCUAUAUAGUUAUCUCUCCCAGUUUCCAUCAAUGCAACGAAAUCCAAUUUGUGCUCAAUAGUUGUUUCAGCUAGGAAUCUUCUUUUAGCCAAGUCUGCUAGACCUCUGCUAUUCCAAAAUGUUCCUUUCAUCGCUCAUCAUGAAAUUUCUUAGCCGUUUUAAAUCUAGCACUACGACGCACAGCUGAAACAGGAUAGACUUUUCUCUUCCAGGUUCUUUUUGGCCUAUCCUGAACCUCCGACCGAUCCACAUAACCGUUGGACUCUUGUGCGUUAGCAUUCGUUUGUGGAGGAGCCUCAUACCCCUCCUGAACGAUAUCAUUUGUGUCUUCAAGCAAAAGGGGGGUGGCACAAGAUCCUCACAUAAACGCUCUAAGGCUCCCAAACCCAAUGCAUUUAUAUCAGAAUCAUUCAUAGGUUUUACGGCUGCAAUUUUUCUGACCAUCUCAAUUGCCCUCUCUGCCUCUAAGUCUAACAUGUCAUUUACCGAUCUAGAUAUCUCCUGGUCUACCAAACGCUAGAAUAAGGCCUAGUAACGGGCCCGACCCAUGCCAUUUUGGCCCAUGACUGCAACCAAACACACCCUUAAGUAACUUCUACAAUAUCCAUCCCCAACUUCCAGAAAUUCUAACACUUAAAAAAUCAAAAUCAAACUAUUGGCAUUUAAAACUUUCAUACAUUUCAUUUCUGAAAAAAAUGGUCUUUUAGAUUUCGAAAUAUCAGUAUUAUAUUUUUUACAAAAUUUAACUUUAAGAAUUUUCAAAAUUAUAAGGAUUCAAAAUUCAAAUGUUUUAGCACUUAAAAAAAUUCAAACUUUAAAAAAAUUGAACUUUCAAAUGUUUUGAAUUUUAAGAAGUGUGAACUUUCAUUUUUUUAUAAAGGAUGGGUUUUAUUUACUCAAAAUAAAGCAUCAAGAGCAUACAAAUACAAUAAGAACACACCCGGCCACUUUAUAACUAGGAUGCACACAACCAACUCAAACUCACACACACAAAAAUACGAUCGGUAAAUAGCAAAGUCAUAUAAGACCAAAGCUAUGUGCGCGGUUGGAAAAAGAAACCAAAGCGACCAUAUUGGCAAUGGACAAACUACAACAAUGACCAUAUCUGCACCAACAAUUUCAUUACACCACACGGACAACGAGGUUCCUCAACAAUGACACCUUCAGAAAGGGAGCGACGCUCAAAUGCCGCUAUCAUCGGAUCCAACCAUCCAAGGUCAGAUGCAAGAUUUUCACUCUGAGAAUCAGUCCAAGCAUGUCCGAGCAAUUCCUUCAAUAAGGUAAUGGCGUAAAAACAUCGCCAUUGCCAGGUACAGCCAACUCGAGUUGGACCUAGGCUUUCACCCGGGAGCUCAAGACCGGGUGCUCGAGAAGCACCACCAUCGAAGUCACUAUGUGUUGUUGCCACUACUUUUCCACAAUCUCAGUAGCUAUAUGCGAUGUGUGACCGCUGAUGCUGCACAACCAUCCCUCUACAUCAAGCCAUCAUCAAUAGUUUCAAUCUCACCGUUGAAGUCAACCAUCGGAUCUCCAAGAUCAAUCAUGAAGACCUUUUGAUGGAUACUACAUCAAUCCGCCGCGAGACCGCCACCGUAGUCAUGGUGGUCACCACACGUUCGUCGUCACGCCCCUAGCAGACCUAAAGGUCCACACCAAGGAACCACGGGUCCACACGCAUGGAGCCAUGGAUGUGUGUGUGGAUCAUGAAACGACCAAUCCAUGGCCAUGGCCAUUAGAUGAGACUAUCCCUGGCUGAUGGCAGGUGUCCAAGCCCUGCCGACAUGGCCACUACACCAUGGGCGCCAUCCCACAUGAAGGAGCCACCAGGCGGAGCAGCGACCACAAGUGAGGCGAGAUCUACACCAGCAAUGGCUGGAUCAUCCAGGUAACUGUCCGCUGGAUCUGUGGUGACAUCGUUGGAGGAAGCACGGGGUAGAGAGUGUGAAUCUGGGUUGGGGGAGAGGGGAAGGUCGGGGAAGAAGAUCCCUGUGGCGGUUGAGUCCCGCCGCCGCUGACAAACUGUCAUCGAUGAUGACGACGAGGAUGGAACAUCGGAGGCGGCCUCGAGUGCUAGGGUUUCUCGCCCCCGGUGUCGCCCUGGAGCAACACGGGAGGCCGAUGGCGAUUUCAUAGGAGAGAGAGAGAGAAGGUUGAGAAAUAGAAUCACAUGGUUGGGCAUGUGAGGAAAGAGAGAGAUGGAAAGAAGCACAUGGAUGAGGCCCCCUCGUCCUAUCUACCACAUGGUAACCUGACACAGUCACAUGCAAUGCUUGCGGCAAUGACCAUGGGCACAGUUCCCACAAGAGAGCAUUCUUAGAGUAAUAGCGAGUCUCAUCCUCAUGUUGGAUGCCUAUAUAAAGCUUCUCCUUUCCAACAUUCAUCAUACGAAUUGGCCAAAAUUUCUUUCUCAUUUGUGAUCUUUCAUCACAUUCAACUUUCCUUUGUAUAUAUUGUUGCUAAGCUUCAAAUUCUAAUCAGCUGGAGCUAAGCAAUGAAUUCUUCAUGCCAUCGAGCAUUCCUCGUGAGGAACAUCUUUUGUACUUUGGAAUGAGUGGUAUCGAGAAAUUAGUCAGGACGACUUUCUGAGGCUGAGGCGCCGCUUUUUUCUGUUCUCGUCUCUGAGACGUUGAGGUGGUAGACAUUUAUGAUAAGUGCAUUUCUUGUUGAGAAUAGCAUCGAUAAUCAUGUCUAGUCUAACAACUUGCUCAUUUAGGACUACCCUGGACAGUGCAACAAGUAAAAUACCAAAUCCUUGUACAAAAACAAGUUGUUGCCCUGUGGUGAGGAGUUGAAGCUAUGGCAUGAACUCGUCCAUGUGUGCGGUAUUUCUCCUUGUUGUUUCCAUCGUCUCUAGAAAUCGCUAAAAAGAUCAAAAACAAUAUCAAACCGUUGACACUAUGUGUCUACCAUCUCACACAAAUUCGAACCCAUAUCCAUCGCAGAUCUCCAAAAACAAACAAACAAGACGGAUCCAGUGUUGAACAGCAUAGCAACUAAUUCAAAUCAGCACAUGAACACAUCAUAUCAUCAGCACCAACACAAGAUUGUUUUUUUUUCUCUUUUCUUCAAACAAUAUCCUGAUUAAGGUUUAAAUAUUCUUGUGGCGUUGUAAAUACAUGUUGUGUGUCAGAGACAUAAUUCUUUUUCAAAUAAAAAAACAUAACUUUUUUUACCACAAAUUUUUCUAGGCUUAUGUGUGUGUAUCUUCCUUGUUUCAGUUCCAAGUGACAAGAGGCAAACUUGUCACGGUUGACUGAAUAGAACAGUAGCAAUCGACCUGCCCGGAGCUUCUAUUUUUUGUAGGUGAUUUUCUCUGUUAAGAGUGACUUCUUCUUUUUUGAGAGUUUUGUUAAGAGUGACAUGAAAUCUGCAUAUGGCGAUCGAGCACGCAUGCCGGCGAUCCCACACGGCGCACCGCAGCCACAAGCCGAUCGCCCCCACAAAAUCUGCCCGACGGCUCCCACCGGGAUGGGAUUCCCCGGUGCCAAUGGCGCGCGCCCACCUCACCCCCUCUUAUCCCCGCCUCACCCACUCGCGCCACGCCCCUUAUCCCCUCCUCUUACAAACCCACACAAACUAAUCAUCGCCCACCACCCUCCAACGAUCACCAACCAAAACCCCUCCACACGCCCGCCCGCGCGCGCCACGGACGCAGCAAUGGCCGCCCUCGCCGCCUCCAUCGCCACCUCCACGGCGUUCGCCGCGAAGCCGCGCCUGUCCCGCCCGCCGGCGCGCCUCUCCGUCUCCUGCUCCGCGUCCAGCGGCGACAACAACAACAGCACCGCCACCCCCUCGCUCUCCGCCUCCAUCAAGACCUUCUCGGCCGCGCUGGCGCUCUCCUCCGUGCUCCUCUCCUCCGCCGCCACCUCCCCGCCCCCCGCGGCUGCCGACAUCGCCGGCCUGACCCCGUGCAAGGAGUCCAAGGCCUUCGCCAAGCGGGAGAAGCAGUCGGUCAAGAAGCUCAACUCGUCGCUCAAGAAGUACGCGCCCGACUCCGCCCCGGCGCUCGCCAUCCAGGCCACCAUCGACAAGACCAAGCGCCGGUUCGAGAACUACGGCAAGUUCGGCCUGCUCUGCGGCUCCGACGGCCUGCCCCACCUCAUCGUCAGCGGCGACCAGCGGCACUGGGGCGAGUUCAUCACCCCCGGCGUGCUCUUCCUCUACAUCGCCGGCUGGAUCGGCUGGGUCGGACGCAGCUACCUCAUCGCCGUCAGCGGCGAGAAGAAGCCCGCCAUGAGGGAGAUCAUCAUCGACGUCGAGCUCGCCGCCAGGAUCAUCCCCAGGGGCUUCAUCUGGCCCGUCGCCGCAUACCGCGAGCUCAUCAACGGCGACCUCGUCGUCGACGACGCCGACAUCGGCUACUAAGAAGCUGCCAUGCGUGCGUGCGUGCGUGGUUGGCUAGUCGGUCCCAAGUCAGGU
rnacentral:lncRNA from 1 species